UUUGUUCUGUCCUAGACUGCGGCAGCGCUGCUAUCUUGUUUCUUUGCCUUGCAACCACCCUGUAACGGCCUUUGGCCAACAGUAUUGUUAAAUAAAUGAUAAAUAAAAUUGCAGUGACUCGUAAAAAUGUCCGGUAGUAUUAAAUAACAAUACGUUGCCGGGAUUUUAAGAAAGCUGGAAUGGAUAUUGUCAAGCACAAUAAGAUAUUUUAGCUUUGCUCUCAAGCUAGUAGUACCAACAGCACACACAACAGGGCUCAUAGGAAAGUAAUCAGCAAAAGCAAUGUGAGGCGUAACAUUGGGGGAUGAAGGAAAGAAUGAACGGAUACAUCAACACUUCGCAGCUCCAUUGAGAGAUACGGAAACAACAUUUUCAUGAUACAGUUCAAUUGCAGGCGACUUUUUGUCGCUGGCUAUAUUCAAAUAUUCUCGCCAGAAAAAAAAAAAAAUAUUCUGAAGUGUUACUUGCUGAAACCACGAUCUCAGUAGGAGCCACGCCGUAGUGUGCCUCGUAGAGUGCUUUCGAUUAAUUGUGACCGCCUGAGGUUCUUUAAUGUACCCCCAGUAUGGACAAGAACGGCACCGAGAGCGGCGCUGCUGCGCCGGCGUUGAGAGUGCCGCACGCGAAGCAAAAUUAUAUUAGCGGGUGGUACCCCUCUCCCAUCUCUCGUUCGCACCGCCGUGAUUGCCUCCUGCACUGCGCGUGUUUGGGCACGUCAGGCCCCGCACACUCUCAAGUUCAACAAAUGGCCACAGAGGGCGAAAAAAUCGACCGCGCGCUGCUGCUAAUAAAACUAGCAUAGUAAUAUCACUUCGGGAUGCUUACGUUAGUUUGAACAUUUUCCGCUGGAGGCGCCGUAAUAAGCGCAAUUUUUUUUUUUUUUGCAAACUUUCGCCUACAAUUACCGAAGCACGUUUAUUACAUGAAAAAGAGGGCGAAAUUAUCAUUGCUAAUUUGAUAUUGUAUUCUUUGUAAGUAAGUUUAUUGUUUCUUUGUCAUUAUAAACGCAAAUAGCGUUCAGCAUCAUCGAUCUUUCACGUGACCUCUGGCCUGGAUUUAAAAUUUUUACCGGUAUUUUCGAGUGCAUGGCGGCACGGAUUCAUUCGUUCGUGCGCUCAGGCUGGUUGCUUCUUUUUCGCUAAAACUAGUUUAUUGCGCUUCGAUGUCACGCGUUAUUUAACCUGGGGUGAAGUGACGUGUUUGCAAGCGGACAUGCAAGCCCGAAAGUUGGGUAUCGGUCGUGAGCCAUUCGGAACACGUCUGCAUCGAAACGGGAGCUGGAUUCUGGUGCGGCUGACAACGGCAAUAACGACAUGCAGUAAUGAGGAUGGCACCAGUAUAAAGCAACACACUCCACACACUAAACAGAAGCUGCUGCCUGCUACAACAAGGCCAUUGUGUGGACAUUGGCUGCUACUACAAGAGUCCAUGCCAAGCAUACCUUGGUCAUCACAGGAGCUCCUAUCCACACCAACAGAAAGGGGCUGGAGCUGAAUUUGCAAGGCUUUUACACCACGAACAAAGAAGCACAUGCAGAAGAAUUUACAUGAGAUAUCAAGUCUGCAGAGCACUGUGUCAAGACUGAAAAGA